GAACGCAGGCUUGAAUGCGUGGGUAACCCGGCAGGACGCCGGGUUAGCCGCCCCGCGCCAUGGAUGGCGCGUGGCGGCGGCCCACGGAUUCAAGCCGGAGUGA
rfam:Pseudomonas fluorescens SBW25 complete genome